rnacentral:rRNA from 1 species
UACGUCGGGUGCAGGCGUUAAUCGGAAUUACUGGGCGUAAAGCGCACGUAGGCGGCUUGGUAUGUCGGGUGUGAAAUCCCCGGGCUCAACCUGGGAACUGCAUCCGAAACUGCCUUGCUCGAGUAUGGGAGAGGGAAGUGGAAUUUCCGGUGUAGCGGUGAAAUGCGUAGAUAUCGGAAGGAACAUCAGUGGCGAAGGCGACUUCCUGGACCAAUACUGACGCUCAGGUGCGAAAGCGUGGGGAGCAAACAGG